rnacentral:rRNA from 1 species
AACGAACGCUGGCGGCAUGCCUAACACAUGCAAGUCGAACGAGACCUUCGGGUCUAGUGGCGCACGGGUGCGUAACGCGUGGGAACCUGCCCUUAGGUUCGGAAUAACUCCCCGAAAGGGGUGCUAAUACCGGAAAAUGUCUUCGGACCAAAGAUUUAUCGCCUUUGGCUGGGCCCGCGUUAGAUUAGCUAGUUGGUAGGGUAAAGGCCUACCAAGGCGACGAUCCAUAGCUGGUCUGAGAGGAUGAUCAGCCACACUGGGACUGAGACACGGCCCAGACUCCUACGGGAGGCAGCAGUGGGGAAUAUUGGACAAUGGGCGAAAGCCUGAUCCAGCAAUGCCGCGUGAGUGAUGAAGGCCUUAGGGUUGUAAAGCUCUUUUACCCGGGAUGAUAAUGACAGUACCGGGAGAAUAAGCUCCGGCUAACUCCGUG